rnacentral:rRNA from 1 species
UACAGAGGGGGCAAGCGUUGUUCGGAAUUACUGGGCGUAAAGGGCGCGUAGGCGGCCUUCUAAGUCAAACGUGAAAUCCCUCGGCUCAACCGGGGAACUGCGUCUGAUACUGGAAGGCUUGAAUCCGGGAGAGGAAUGCGGAAUUCCAGGUGUAGCGGUGAAAUGCGUAGAUAUCGGGAGGAACACCAGUGGCGAAGGCGGCGACCUGGGCCAAUAUUGACGCUGAGGUGCGAAAGCGUGGGGAGCAAACAGG